AAGAACACUAAUAACACUAUCAAUCUUCUCAUUUCUUGAUAACAAUAUACAAAAUUUAGCAAAACAAGAACACUAAUAACACUAUCAAUCUUCUCAUUUCUUGAUAAGAAUAUACAAAAUUUAGCAAAACAAGAACAAUAAUAACACUAUCAAUCUUCUCAUUUCUUGAUAACAAUAUACAAAAUUUAGCAAACCAAGAACACUAAUAACACUAUCAAUCUUCUCAUUUCUUGAUAACAAUAUACAAAAUUUAGGAAAACAAGAACACUAAUAACACUAUCAAUCUUCUCAUUUCAUGAUAACAAUAUACAAAAUUUAGCAAAACAAGAACACUAAUAACACUAUCAAUUUUCUCAUUUCUUGAUAACAAUAUACAAAAUUUAGCAAAACAAGAACACUAAUAACACUAUCAAUCUUCUCGUUUCUUUAUAACAAUAUACAAAAUUUAGCAAAACAAGAACACUAAUAACAGUAUCAAUCUUCAAAUUUCCAGAUAACAAUAUACAAAAUUUAGCAAAACAAGAACACUAAUAACACUAUCAAUAUUCUCAUUUCUUGAUAACAAUAUACAAAAUUUAGCAAAACAAGAAUACUAAUAACACUAUCAAUCUUCUCAUUUCUUGACAACAAUAUACAGAUUAGUAUGCUAAGAAAAAAGAAGCAAAGAAAUAACUCACGUAAUAGAGUCCUAAAGAUGUGCGUACGAAUAUAGGAAGCA
rnacentral:lncRNA from 1 species